rnacentral:misc_RNA from 1 species
UUUUUUUGUUUUAAAGUCCUUUAUUGUCUGGCAUAAUAAUUGUAUCAGUUAGAUCUUUUUGCUGAUUAGCUGCUUUGACAGAAAAUAUGCGGUCAUUGCACUAUUCUUUAUCCAUGAGUUUGUGCUCUUUAUCUCAUGCUACAUUUUAAAGCAAUUUUAAUAUUGAUUUGAAUUACUCGUUUGAGGUAAUGCUUCAAAUUACCAAAUUCAAAAUAUAUACAAGCAAAAUGAACUUCUUGUUACCUGCUUGGCUAGAAAGGGUGCCCCAAUGCAUGAGGCAUCGAAGCUUCCUGCAUUCGACUUUAGGGAGGUAUGGAGCUACACAGCCUCCCCUUUGCAUUACAAAGAGGAUCUCUUGGUUACAAUGGCAAACUUAACUCCG